rnacentral:lncRNA from 1 species
CUAGUCUGAUGAACUUUCUCCUAGGAUCAAAAUCUUAGUCUGAUGAAUCUUUCUCCUAAGAUAAAAAACCUCGUCUGAUGAAUUUUCUCCUAGGAUAAACGUCUUAGUCUGAUAAAUUUUUCUCCUAAGAUAGAAGACCUAGUCUAAUGAACUUUCUCCUAGGAUAGAAAUCUUAGUACGGUGAAUCUUUCUCCUAAGAUAAAAGGACCUAGUCUGAUGAAUUUUCUCCUAGGAUGGAAGUCUUAGUCUGAUGAAUUUUUCUCCUAAGAUAGAAAACCUAGUCUGAUGAAUUUUCUCCUAGGAUAAAAAUCUUAGUCUGAUGAAUUUUUCUCCUAAAAUAGAAAAACUCAGUCUGAUGAAAUUUCUCCUAGGAUAAAAAUCUUAGUCUGAUGAAUCUUUCUCCUAAGAUAAUAAAAAAGGGAACCUAGUCUGACGAAUCUUCUCCUAGGAUCGCAAUCUUAGUCUGAUGAAUUUUUCUCCUAAGAUAGAAGACCUAGUCUGAUGAACUUUCUCCUAGGAUCAAAAUCUUAGUCUGAUGAAUCUUUCUCUUAAGAUAGAAAACCUAGCCCGAUGAAUUUUCUCCUAGGAUAAUAAUUUAAAAAAAAAGGGAAGUCUGGAUUUGAAAAAAAAAGGGUCAACCUUAGUUUCUUAAGUUAUCAAUGUUUAGUUUUCUUUAAAUCAGGGUUCCCGCCUAGAGAAUGGGGUCAGUCUUUACUUUAGUCAAGCUUAGUUUAUAUUUUUCCGCAAGCUCAAUCACUUUUAGGAGAGUACAUCGUAGUCGAGCCAUUAAUUAUACUUUCAUCAUUGCAUCAAUAGCAUAAGUGGUUUACAGUUUUACUAACAACUCACAAAUCUUUCGAGUGCAAACUGGGGCAGGAAAUUUUGUUUGUUUUGUUGUUUUGAUUGCAGGCACCCACUUGGAGAACAAGGGAAGACAGUUCAAGUUUCAAGGGAAGACAGUGCAAGUUUCAAGGGAAAGCAGUUCUGAGGGAACACAGAAAGUUUCAGCAAUCAGGCGCCCACCUGGGGAACAAGAGAAAACAGUUCAAGUUUCAAGGGAAGAUAGUUCAAGUUUCAAGAGAAAACAAUUCAAGUUUCAAGGGAAAGCAGUUUCGAAGGAAGACAGUUCAAGUUCAGCAAUCAGGCGCCUACCUGGAGAAUAAAGGAAGACAGUUCAAGUUUCAAGGGAAAGCAGUUUCAAAGGAAGACAGUUCAAGUGUUAGAAAUUAGGCACCCACCUAGAAAACAAGGGAAUUCAGAAUGCAAUUCAAGUCAGCAAUAAAAGAAGCUCGCGGCAAGAAUGCGAGUCAACAGUUUGAGAUGACUAAAGAAGAAGUCUCAAUCCAAGAAACAAGAAAGAAAAGAAAAAAAGGGAAGUGAAUCCAAAUGCAAAAGUAGAGAAAGAUGUGAACUGCUCAAGACAUGGUUGAAAUCACGAGUAUUGCAUGUCCGGUCUUGAUCCGAAGUAGAAUGAACUAGCACCUGCAGCUAGCAAGCGUCAAGAUUCAAAUCUAAAAUCCACAUGAAGAGACCCUCAAAACUCAAGACCAAGCUUCAGAAGACUUAUAGAUAGGAAUCUUGUAACUCAUAGUUGACAGACUUAGCUAGUCUUUUUCAUUUUUUGAUUUUGAUGUAAUAACAGGACCGCGGACCUGAACCUCGAUGGAAUGGCACCUCGAUCGGCUCUCCACCUCGGUAUACUUCAUCAUCU